AUGGUCCAGGGCCGCACGCCUCCUCAGCCACAAGGCUCCGCACGUGCAAUCAGCUCCGCACGGGCGGAUGAAAUCUCGCCUCCGCGGCUCCAAGGCUUGGCGCUCGGCGAGGGGGACGCGGUGAGGAGGACGGGGAUGGGGUGCCUGUUCGACUGCUUCCGCGCGGCCGGCGGCGAGCCACGCGCCGGCCGCGACCGCGCCCAGCUCGUCUCUUCGUCCGUCAUCCCCAGCCCCAAGGUUGGCGGCGAGAGGAGUGCGCCGCCGUCCAGGAACGCGCUGUCGGCCGUGUUCCUGCGCGAAGAUGAGGGAUCGCAGGCCACGAGCUCGGGGUCAGACCGGGACGCGGGGAGCAAGAGGGUGGAUCCGGAGCUCAUGCACGAGGAGGAAGGCAAGUUGUCGCACCUGGAGAACUUACCCAUCAGAGGGAGCAAUGAAGACUUUGUUAGGAUAGUACCGGAUGUGCUCCUACGUGUUGAACAAUGUUACGUAGUAGUGAGAUAA
rnacentral:rRNA from 1 species